rnacentral:rRNA from 1 species
GACGAACGCUGGCGGCGUGCCUAAUACAUGCAAGUAGAACGCAGUUGCGAACGGGUGAGUAACGCGUAGGUAACUGCCUCAUAGCGUGGGAUAACUAUUGGAAACGAUAGCUAAUACCCCAUACUGUGAGAUGAACCUGCGUUGUAUUAGCUAGUUGGUGAGGUAAAGGCUCACCAAGGCGACGAUACAUAGCCGACCUGAGAGGGUGAUCGGACACACUGGGACUGAGACACGGCCCAGACUCAUACGGGAGGCAGCAGUGGGGAAUAUUGCACAAUGGGCGCAAGCCUGAUGCAGCCAUGCCGCGUGUAUGAAGAAGGCCUUCGGGUUGUAAAGUACUUUAAGCGGGGAGGCGUUACCAGCAGAAGAAGCACCGGCUAACUCCGUGCCAGCCGCCGCGGUAAUAC